rnacentral:misc_RNA from 1 species
ACCCAAAAACUCCACCAACAAUAACGGUGCUUGGAGAGACCAAUAUCACAAUUCCUCUCUAUCUAUACGCGGCCGCCUCCCCCCUUCUUCCCGACCUCCUCCUAUUAUCAAUUAAUCAGUGCUGACUAUCCAGGCAAAAAUAAACUGAAUUUUGUUUUACCCACGCUUCAAAUAAAAUAACAUUCGGAAAAAUCUUUAAAUAUUUUCAUUUCUUACACCAGACAUAAGUAUCAAAAUUGACCCAACAAUUACGUGAAAUAUAGUACGCAAUCAUUUUUUGCACCAAAGAAUCUUCAUUGCUAUAUGACGCAAGCUAAUUUAUAAGUUAGUGAUACAAACACCUUGAAAACAGGAAAAGGAAAAACUUAUCCAAAUCAUUUACAAGACUUACAGCACCAACAACACCAGACAGGGCAAGCAAGAACAGAACAAAAAAUUGAACUUCAGAUCUGCCUCAAAUCGAAAGAGAACGCAAAAAAUAACCAAAAAAUAGUAACAACAACAAAUAAAUCAGAUGUUAAACUUGAGAUCCAAAUUAUACCUUUGUAGUCAUCUUUAUCAGA